GAUGAAGAACGUAGCGAAAUGCGAUACUUGGUGUGAAUUGCAGAAUCCCGUGAACCAUCGAGUCUUUGAACGCAAGUUGCGCCCGAAGCCACUAGGCCGAGGGCACGCCUGCCUGGGCGUCACACGUCGUUGCCCCCCCAUCUACUCCUUCGGGAUUGCGGGGGGGCGGAUGAUGGCCUCCCGUGCGCCUAGCCGCGCGGUUGGCAUAAAUACCAAGUCCUCGGCGACGCACGCCACGACAAUCGGUGGUUGCGAAACCUCGGUUGCCCGUCGUGUGCGUUCGUCGCGCAUCGAGGGCUCGAAAAAAUGCUCGGCUCCGGCUGGGCUUUCAACGCGACCCCAGGUCAGGCGGGGUUACCCGCUGAAUUUAAGCAUAUCAAAAGCGGAGGA
rnacentral:misc_RNA from 1 species